rnacentral:rRNA from 1 species
GUGGGGAAUAUUGGACAAUGGGCGAAAGCCUGAUCCAGCCAUGCCGCGUGUGUGAAGAAGGUCUUCGGAUUGUAAAGCACCUUAAGUUGGGAGGAAGGGCAGUAAGUUAAUACCUUGCUGUUUUGACGUUACCAACAGAAUAAGCACCGGCUAACUUCGUGCCAGCAGCCGCGGUAAUACGAAGGGUGCAAGCGUUAAUCGGAAUUACUGGGCGUAAAGCGCGCGUAGGUGGUUCAGCAAGUUGGAGGUGAAAUCCCCGGGCUCAACCUGGGAACUGCCUCCAAAACUACUGAGCUAGAGUACGGUAGAGGGUAGUGGAAUUUCCUGUGUAGCGGUGAAAUGCGUAGAUAUAGGAAGGAACACCAGUGGCGAAGGCGACUACCUGGACUGAUACUGACACUGAGGUGCGAAAGCGUGGGGAGCAAACAGGAUUAGAUACCCUAGUAGUCC